GUGCGCUGUAUUUGUGUUGACUUGUCGCAUAGUAUUCGCUGAUAGAAUUGUUAGACUUGUUUAAACUUGUCACGUAGGAUUCGUUGCUAGAUUUGCUUAGACUUCGGGUUGGUUAUCCUGUGUGUGUGUAAAACUAACGUCGUUUUAGUGUCUGCAAACAGUGCUUCACUUGUUUUAGAGUAUUAUUUAUUGCUAAAGUGCAGCAUAAUUUAUUUGCGCUGUACAGAAGUUGCGUUUGUUCCAGCGCAACCCUGAGUUUCGGUUUCGGGUGACCACGUGACUAGCUUUGUUGUGAUAAGUAGCAUUAAGGCGUGGCUGCUUUUUUCCACUUAACGGCUCGUAAAAGUGGUUAUUUAUUGGACUUAAUGCUGACGCGGAAGCGGCAGCGGAAGUGGUGGCCCUCGGGUGAAGCCCUCCUCGGGUAAAGACCUACUUGGGUAAAGACCAGAGAGUCCACCGAGCAAGGACAUUGACAAGGCUCCACUCACCAAAGCACUUAAACCGUUCACAAGAUACAGAUGCAAGACAAAACGCAACCCACACAACCUAUGGCCGCUUUGCACUUCAACACCUGCUCCACUCUCAUUCUCAGUGGGACUCUGGAACUGCCAGUCUGCUGUGAACAAAGCUGCCUUCAUUCCAGCUUUUGCCACGCAGUCCACCCUCAGCAUCCUGGCACUGACAGAGACAUGGAUACGUCCUGAGGAUACAGCAACACCUGCUGCCCUCUCCAACAACUUCUCCUUCUCCCACACCCCUCGACAUACUGGUAGGGGUGGGGGAACAGGUUUGCUCAUUCAUAAUAACUGGACUUUUUCACCACAGGCUUCACUAUGUAACAAUACAUCUUUUGAAUUCCAUGCUAUUACUACAAUGCAACCCACAAAAUUACAUGUUGUUGUCAUCUAUCGCCCCCCAGGUCAGCUGACAAGCUUUCUUGAGGAAUUGGAUGUCCUGCUGUCCUCCUUGACAGAGGAUGGCAGGCCACUUGUGGUUCUUGGUGAUUUCAACAUACACCAAGACAAACCCCAGGCCAUUGAACUGAAUACUCUUCUGGCAUCAUUCGACUUGGAUAGAAUACACACCACAGCAACUCACAGACCAGCACGGACUACAUCACCCAGCCCCUGGCUGUCUGACGUCCUUCGUGAACAUCGGACUGAUCUCAGGGCAGCUGAGAGGAGAUGGCGGAAAUCUAAAGAUCCAGCUGAUCUAGAACAAGCUGCUGGAUGACAAUCAGUCAGGCUUCAAAAGUGGACACUCCACUGAGACUGCCCUGCUGUCUGUCAUCGAGACGCUGAGACAGGCGAAAGCUGAAUCCAGAUCAUCCGUUCUGAUUCUGCUGGACCUUUCUGCUGCCUUCGACACAGUCAACCAUCAGCUCCUACUCUCCACCCUCUCUAACUGGCCCAACGACACCACAGUGACCGCUCGAAUCGCUGCCUGUCUGGCAGACAUCUCAGCCUGGAUGAAGGAACACCACCUUCAACUCAACCCUGCCAAGACCGAACUCCUUGUCUUUCAAGCCAACCCGGCUGUUGAACACAACAUCACCGUGCAGCUGGGUCCAACUACAGUUUCGCCUUCCAAAACGGUCAGAAAUCUAGGGGUAACCAUUGAUGAUGAGCUAAAUUUCACAGACCACAUUUCAAAAACUGCAAGAUCAUGUAGAUUUACACUCUACAAUAUCAGGAAGAUAAGACCCUUCCUCUCUGUACAUGCCACACAACUGCUCGUUCAGUCCCUUGUCAUAACUAGACUGGACUACUGUAACGCUCUCAUUGCAGGCCUCCCUGCAUGUGCUAUUAGACCUCUGCAAAUGAUCCAGAAUGCAGCAGCACGUCUGGUCUUUAAUGAACCUAAGAGAGCACAUGUUACACCACUCUUUGUCUCUCUCCACUGGCUGCUGGUUCAUGCACGUAUUAAAUUCAAGGCCCUGAUGCUGGCAUAUAAAACAGUCACUGGGUCUGCUCCAGCAUACCUAAAAACAUUUAUGCAGAGCUACGUUCCCACCAGAAGCCUGUGGUCAGCUAAGGAACGUCGCCUUGUCGUACCAAAACAAAGAGGCACCAAAACACUUUCCCGGACUUUCAGUUUCAUCAUACCACGGUGGUGGAAUGACCUUCCCAACUCAAUCCGGGAAGCUAACUCACUCUCCAUCUUCAAAAAACGGCUAAAAACACAUCUUUUCCAAAAGCACUUAACCGGUCACUAAAAAAAAUAAUUACAUUUUUUUUUUAAAAAUAAUUUACAUUUCUUGUUGCACUUAAAUCUGUUUUGUAUACUAUUCUGAUGACAGUGAAACUUUGUAAUAUGGCACUUUUUUGUACCACUGUCUCCCUAAGAUGAU